GGUUAAGCGACUAAGCGUACACGGUGGAUGCCCUGGCAGUCAGAGGCGAUGAAGGGCGUGCUAAUCUGCGAUAAGCGCCGGUAAGGUGAUAUGAACCGUUAUAACCGGCGAUACCCGAAUGGGGAAACCCAGUGUGAUUCGUCACACUAUCAUUAACUGAAUCCAUAGGUUAAUGAGGCGAACCGGGGGAACUGAAACAUCUAAGUACCCCGAGGAAAAGAAAUCAACCGAGAUUCCCCCAGUAGCGGCGAGCGAACGGGGAGGAGCCCAGAGCCUGAAUCAGCAUGUGUGUUAGUGGAAGCGUCUGGAAAGGCGCGCGAUACAGGGUGACAGCCCCGUACACAAAAGCGCAUGUGCUGUGAGCUCGAUGAGUAGGGCGGGACACGUGGUAUCCUGUCUGAAUAUGGGGGGACCAUCCUCCAAGGCUAAAUACUCCUGACUGACCGAUAGUGAACCAGUACCGUGAGGGAAAGGCGAAAAGAACCCCGGCGAGGGGAGUGAAAAAGAACCUGAAACCGUGUACGUACAAGCAGUGGGAGCACCCUUUGGGGUGUGACUGCGUACCUUUUGUAUAAUGGGUCAGCGACUUAUAUUCUGUAGCAAGGUUAACCGAAUAGGGGAGCCGGAGGGAAACCGAGUCUUAAUUGGGCGUUAAGUUGCAGGGUAUAGACCCGAAACCCGGUGAUCUAGCCAUGGGCAGGUUGAAGGUUGGGUAACACUAACUGGAGGACCGAACC
rnacentral:rRNA from 1 species